GCCAGAACGACGGGGAAGCCCAACAGACUUCUCUUCUCACUACUCUCUCUCUCUCUUCAAAAGAAGCAACGCACAGCAGUCUGCUCUUCUUCCUCCUCGGCCGGUGCUCCACGCUCGAGCUACCCGACGGAGCUGCCUCCACGAGCUGGCCGACGCGGAUCUGACGACCCGGCAUCCCUCCGCCGAGCCUCGGCCAGUCCGCGCUCAAGAAAUCCGGCGCCGCGGCGGGACGCGGCUCCAGCGAGCUCCACUCCUCUUCCUCUUUCUGCCGCCGCCGCAACCGCGAUGCCGGCGGUGAGCAUCGGCCGGGACUGUGUCUUCGUAGAUCUGGGUCGGACGUACAGUAAGUUUGACUCCCUCUGCUCAGUUCCUCCCCCAAAUCCCUAGCUCUCCCCCAUCCGUGACGCAGCGCAGGAGGAGUUCGAGGCGCUCUGCUCGCGGCAGCCCAUUUGGAUGGAUGAGUAAGACCCCCGCCCCGGCCCUCUCCGCCUCCUCCUCCGCCCCGGCGGCGCCCUUCUCGGUCAUGACCGCGGGGACCUACCAGGGAGGAGAGGACCCGCUCGUCUCCAAGCUCGGCACCCAGCUCGGCAUCAUCCACCCGCUCCCGGCGCCCCCCGUCAGUCGCUCCGUCGUCGGCCUCUUCGCGCUCUUCUUCUUACAAGCUUAUGUGGCUAAACUGGAGACUUCAAUGUCUGCUGUUGCUAGUAAACUUGAGACAAAACUUUAUGGUUACAAUGAUACGCUUCCCAUCCUGCUGUCCAAGAUCUUUUCUACUCACUGUUUCUUUUCUCCAACGACAGAUGAUUUUGAGGUGCUGCAAUUCAUUGUUUUAGGAGAUACACAUGAAUUAUAUUGCUUUUUGGAUCAUAAAAUUAGCAUAGUCUCUUGUUUUCUUUUCUUGGUAUACAUGGUGAGUUUGGUAUUCAUACUCGAUGGAAAUCUUUGGAUGAUCUUUACAAGGUAAUUAUUAUCUUGGAAUACAUGGCGAGCUUGGUAUUCAUACUUGAUGGAAAUCUUUGGAUGAUCUUUACCCAAAGGUUCAUGUAUUACCUCAGCUUGACGCAGGCAGCCCACAAGCACAAUCACUUCACUGGUUAAGGGACUUCUGGACCACAAGAGGUUGGAGCAGGUUUCGACCGUUGAUGUCAAAAGGAUUGAUAAUUACCUCAGCCUACCGCCGGCAUGGUUAAGGGGGUUAUCGACGAGAAGAGGUAGGAGCACGUCCGAGCACGUGUCAACCGUUGCCAUGAACCAGAGCUGCGGUGGCGCCGCUCCAGACCUUCUGUGCCGCCACACCUCUGCACCGCUGGGGCAGAACGUGGUCAACGGCAGAGAGCGACUUGUGAUGCCUCAGAGGAACAACCAGCAAGGUGAUCUGUUGUGCCGCCGCAGCUCUGGAACGCUAGGGGAAAAUGUGGCCGCAUCGAGGAGGCGACCUGCUGUGCUGCCGUGUCGCCGCUGCCGUGUCGCCGCAUCGCUGGGCAGAACGUCGCCACGUCAGGAAGCCGACCUGGGGGAGAAUGUGGCCGCGUCGGGGAGGCGACCGGCCGUGCUGCCGUGCCGCCGCACUGCCCGGCAGAACGUCGCCGCGUCAGGGAGUCGACCUGCUGUGUUGUCGAGGUCGUCGAGCGGAACGUGGCCGCGUUGGGAGAGGGAUUUGCUGAGGCGCGGAGUAGUCCGAGGAAGGGGAUCGGGGAGGCGUCAAAAAGGAUCGGGGGGAGUUCUGUAAUCACGGUUCGUUUCUAUAUUUGUUGGGUGGUAUAAAAUUGAUAAUCUUUCGCGCGGGUCCGCAAAUAGUGGCGUUUUGAGGGAUAUUUAUCCAGGACGGCCCACCUGGAGUGGAGUGGCAUUUUUAGGGACAUGACGGGGGCGCGGACGCAAGCCGUGGACCGACGGAAGGAUGCUAUUGUCGCACCAGGAGAAGUCUUAUUUUUAUUCU